UACGUAGGGUGCGAGCGUUAAUCGGAAUUACUGGGCGUAAAGCGUGCGUAGGCGGUUCUCCAAGUCCGUUGUGAAAGCCCCGGGCUCAACCUGGGAAUGGCGGUGGAAACUAGGGGACUGGAAUCUGGCAGAGGGGGGUGGAAUGCCGCGUGUAGCAGUGAAAUGCGUAGAGAUGCGGCGGAACACCGAUGGCGAAGGCAGCCCCCUGGGCUGAGAUUGACGCUCAGGCACGAAAGCGUGGGGAGCAAACAGG
rnacentral:rRNA from 1 species